GUAGUUACCUGGCAGGAGGUAUACCAUGAUCAGACCAGAGCAAGGCUUAUCUGUUAUACUCAGGAUGUGUGCAAUAGAUAAUCUACCCCUGUAAUUUCCCCACAUGUAGGAAACUUGAUUGCAUAAUUUGUGGUACCAGGGAGACUGUGUUCACAUUCUCCCC
rnacentral:snRNA from 1 species